GUGGGCAACCUGCCUAUAAGACUGGGAUAACUUCGGGAAACCGGAGCUAAUACCGGAUACGUUCUUUUCUCGCAUGAGAGAAGAUGGAAAGACGGUUUACGCUGUCACUUAUAGAUGGGCCCGCGGCGCAUUAGCUAGUUGGUGAGGUAAUGGCUCACCAAGGCGACGAUGCGUAGCCGACCUGAGAGGGUGAUCGGCCACACUGGGACUGAGACACGGCCCAGACUCCUACGGGAGGCAGCAGUAGGGAAUCUUCCGCAAUGGACGAAAGUCUGACGGAGCAACGCCGCGUGAACGAAGAAGGCCUUCGGGUCGUAAAGUUCUGUUGUUAGGGAAGAACAAGUACCAGAGUAACUGCUGGUACCUUGACGGUACCUAACCAGAAAGCCACGGCUAACUACGUGCCAGCAGCCGCGGUAAUACGUAGGUGGCAAGCGUUGUCCGGAAUUAUUGGGCGUAAAGCGCGCGCAGGUGGUUCCUUAAGUCUGAUGUGAAAGCCCACGGCUCAACCGUGGAGGGUCAUUGGAAACUGGGGAACUUGAGUGCAGAAGAGGAAAGUGGAAUUCCAAGUGUAGCGGUGAAAUGCGUAGAGAUUUGGAGGAACACCAGUGGCGAAGGCGACUUUCUGGGCUGUAACUGACACUGAGGCGCGAAAGCGUGGGGAGCAACAGGAUUAGAUACCCUGGUAGUCCACGCCGUA
rnacentral:rRNA from 2 species